AGUGAACGCUGGCGGUAGGCCUAACACAUGCAAGUCGAACGGCAGCACAGUAAGAGCUUGCUCUUACGGGUGGCGAGUGGCGGACGGGUGAGGAAUACAUCGGAAUCUACUUUUUCGUGGGGGAUAACGAAGGGAAACUUACGCUAAUACCGCAUACGACCUACGGGUGAAAGCAGGGGAUCUUCGGACCUUGCGCGAUUGAAUGAGCCGAUGUCGGAUUAGCUAGUUGGCGGGGUAAAGGCCCACCAAGGCGACGAUCCGUAGCUGGUCUGAGAGGAUGAUCAGCCACACUGGAACUGAGACACGGUCCAGACUCCUACGGUAGGCAGCAGUGGGGAAUAUUGGACAAUGGGCGCAAGCCUGAUCCAGCCAUACCGCGUGGGUGAAGAAGGCCUUCGGGUUGUAAAGCCCUUUUGUUGGGAAAGAAAAGCAGCAGGUUAAUACCCCGCUGUUCUGACGGUACCCAAAGAAUAAGCACCGGCUAACUUCGUG
rnacentral:rRNA from 1 species